UUCCCUGUCAUAAAGCAUCUUCUCUGUCUUUAACUAGCAGCACAGUGACAAGAUGCUUUCCAGAACAGAAAAUGUAUUCCUAGUAUGCUGCAAGCAACACAUUGGGAAGGUCUCCCUUUCUGCUUGGGAAUGCUUUGAAAGAAGGAAGGAGACUGCAUCCUGUGGGAAAGGACCCACACUGGAAGAGCUGCUGGAGAACUGUUGCCUGUGGGAUGGACUCAUGCUGGAGAAGCUGAUGAAGAACUGUCUCCUGUGGGAGGGACCUCACUCCAGAGCAGGGGAAGGAUUCCUCUCCCUGAGCAGCAGCAGCAGAAACAAUGUGUGAUGGACUGACCAUGACCCCUCUUCCCCAUCUCAAGAAGGCAAAGCCAGGAGGAAGUGAGGGGCUGCCUUUGGGAAUCACUGAACAUGAAGACAAAACAGAAGAUUCUCCUUCAAGUGAAGAUAUGAAAUGCAUGAGACAUGAGGACCUGACAUGACUCAGUGACUUGAUUCAAAUUUAAUUAAUAGGAAUCCAACCUGUGUAAAAUAGAUAAGACGCCAUGACAACAA